UACGAAGGGGGCUAGCGUUGCUCGGAAUCACUGGGCGUAAAGCGCACGUAGGCGGCUUUUAAGUCAGGGGUGAAAUCCUGGAGCUCAACUCCAGAACUGCCUUUGAUACUGAGAGCUUGAGUCCGGGAGAGGUGAGUGGAACUGCGAGUGUAGAGGUGAAAUUCGUAGAUAUUCGGCAAGAACACCAGUGGCGAAGGCGGCUCACUGGCCCGGUACUGACGCUGAGGUGCGAAAGCGUGGGGAG
rnacentral:rRNA from 1 species